AUCGGAUUUACUGGGCGUAAAGCGUGUGUAGGUGGUUGUUCAAGUCAGUUGUGAAAUCCCUGGGCUUAACCUGGGAACUGCUUCUGAGACUGAACGACUAGAGUACGGUAGAGGGUGGUGGAAUUUCCGGUGUAGCGGUGAAAUGCGUAGAUAUCGGAAGGAACAUCAAUGGCGAAGGCAGCCACCUGGGCCUGUACUGACACUGAGACAACGAAAGCGGU
rnacentral:rRNA from 1 species